rnacentral:rRNA from 1 species
GACGAACGCUGGCGGCGUGCUUAACACAUGCAAGUCGAACGGUGACCCAGGGCUUGCCCUGGUGAUCAGUGGCGAACGGGUGAGUAACACGUGGGCAACCUGCCCCUGACUUCGGGAUAACUCCUCGAAAGAGGAGCUAAUACCGGAUACGACCACUUCGGACAUCCGAUGGUGGUGGAAAGUUUUCGGUCAGGGAUGGGCCCGCGGCCUAUCAGCUAGUUGGUGGGGUAAUGGCCUACCAAGGCGACGACGGGUAGCCGGCCUGAGAGGGCGACCGGCCACACUGGGACUGAGACACGGCCCAGACUCCUACGGGAGGCAGCAGUGGGGAAUAUUGCGCAAUGGGCGAAAGCCUGACGCAGCGACGCCGCGUGAGGGAUGAAGGCCUUCGGGUUGGUAAACCUCUUUCUAGCAGGGACGAAGCGAAAGUGACGGUACCUGCAGAAGAAGACACCGGCUAACUACGUGCCAGCAGCCGCGGUAAU